rnacentral:pre_miRNA from 1 species
AUGACCUAUGAAAUGACAGCCACUUCCAUACCAAACAUGUCUGUCAUUUCUGUAGGCCAAUA